UACGUAGGGGGCAAGCGUUAUCCGGAAUUACUGGGUGUAAAGGGAGCGUAGACGGUAAUGUAAGUCUGGAGUGAAAGGCGGGGGCCCAACCCCCGGACUGCUCUGGAAACUAUGUUACUGGAGUGCAGGAGAGGUAAGCGGAAUUCCUAGUGUAGCGGUGAAAUGCGUAGAUAUUAGGAGGAACACCAGUGGCGAAGGCGGGUUCCUGGACAUUAACUGACGCUGAGGCACGAAGGCCAGGGGAGCGAAAGGG
rnacentral:rRNA from 1 species